rnacentral:rRNA from 1 species
GAUGAACGCUGGCGGCGUGCCUAAUACAUGCAAGUCGAGCGAACAGACGAGGAGCUUGCUCCUCUGACGUUAGCGGCGGACGGGUGAGUAACACGUGGAUAACCUACCUAUAAGACUGGGAUAACUUCGGGAAACCGGAGCUAAUACCGGAUAAUAUAUUGAACCGCAUGGUUCAAUAGUGAAAGACGGUUUUGCUGUCACUUAUAGAUGGAUCCGCGCCGCAUUAGCUAGUUGGUAAGGUAACGGCUUACCAAGGCAACGAUGCGUAGCCGACCUGAGAGGGGGGAUCGCACCACAAGGAGGUGAGCGAGGGACCGACCACCAUCGGAGGGAAGGAAGAGGAAAGCUGCAGAAAGGGCGGAAAGCCGGACGGAACAAGCCCAGUGGGGUGAAGAAGGUCUGCGGUAUGGAAAACGUUUUUUUUUGGGAAGAAAAAAUGUUGAGGUAACUUUGCCCGUCUGAACGUACCCUAAGAAAAAGCCCCGGGUUACUUACGG